rnacentral:misc_RNA from 1 species
AGGUAACAUGCUUGUUCUUUGUUUCUGUUUAAUUUAUUUUUUGUUUUUUGUGAGGAAUUGUUAUGUGGGUAUUUCAUUUGGGUUGUUUAUUUUGCGAGGAUUUUUCAUGUGGAUAUUUCGAUUUGAUUAUUUUCGGUUUGGUAUCAAAUUUUCUGGCUUUUGAUUGAGGAUGGUUCUUAGAGGACUACUUUUUUGGUUUUUUGGUUGAUUUUUGAUCCUGUGGAUCUAGUUUCCUGUUGUUCUGUGUGGGUUGAUGUUCUCUGGGAUGAAUCUAUUCUUGAUUUAUUGCUGUUUGAAUUUAGUGUUGUCAAGCUGGUCUUUAUGCUUCAAUUUGGCAAUUUUGUGAAUUUUCCAUUUCUUUUAAUAAUUCAGUAUUAUUAAUAUUAGGUUUUUAGAUGCCUUUGCAAUAGUCUUGAAAGGAACUAUGAGGAUGAUUGUUUUUGCUUACGCUUAAUAAGAGAGUGCCAAAUUUGGUUGCUCAUAGAAUCGAUAACUAGGAAGCAAGCGGAGAGUAGAAGUAUGUGACUUACUUAUACUGGCCUAAGUUGAUGUGGAUUUCCAGAUUUAGGAAACAGAUUUCAGCAAAUCGUAAGAUUUGAUAAUCAUCUAUUCUUUUUCUUUUAGUUAUUUCUGCAAUUGUAUCAAUUAUGAAAUGGGUCAUGUACUGUUUUGUUUAUUUUGUUGUUGCUGAACAACUAAUGUGAACUAAAAUAAAAAUUCUGUUCAGUGAUUAUCACAUUGAUGCUGAAUUGAACUCUUGCUUUUUUUUUGUCUAUUUUUUUUUUCUCCUGGUCUGCUCCCCUAUAGAGGGGCAUGAGUUGUUUAAUGUAGUUUCAUAAGUAAUAAGAUGUUAUGCAAUUGACUUUAGUUACUUUGUCUGUAUUUGUUUUUCUUUACUUACUGAUCUCCCAUUCUUUGGCAAGUAAAAUCCAGCACUAGGCAUUUGCUUCAACCUCUUUGACCAUUAUGGAGGGUUUUGGGUUUAGUGAUGCAAGCAGUGCUGUGAGGAAGAGGAGGAGUACUACAUCUCGUCGUCCUCGGAAUGACUCACAGUUGCCUUCUGAUUACCAUGAUAUCUCAUCCUUAUCAUCCACGCCACCUUCAGACAGUAAUAUAAUGAAGCCUGAAGAUGGAGGAUUUGGAGAAUCUGAUGAGGCUUCUAACAAUGGUUCUUUUCGAGGAAGUAAUGAGCAGAGGCACAGCGGAGUUGAUUCUAGAAGAUGCAGUGAAGGUGUUCUGGCCCCAGCUAAUUGGAAAAGCACAAGCAGCUUGGGGCAGAGUAGAGUUGUUUCAGACGGAGUAGGAAAUGACAAUAAAGUGAAAAAGGUCAAGCUUAAGGUUGGUGGCGUCAUACGCACUAUUAAUGCCAAGUCUGCAUCUGAUGGUGCAUCUGCUGUUGGGUCUUCUUCUACCAGAUCCUCCCGCUUCCCAGAUCCCCAACAGAAGUCAAUUGAGGAUUUGGAGGAUAAUCGUUCCUUUGCUUCAGAUAAGGGGAGUGGUUUGCGAGGAGUCCCAUGGAAGGAUUUCUCUAGAAGUAGUUUAACUGUUGGGAAAGCAGAUGGUUUGAGGGGUAGGAUGCCUGAAGAAAAUCUCUCUUCGAAACAAACAGAUAAGUAUGAGCCAGUUCGUAAGAGCAAACGGGUCCCAAAGAAACGCUUAUUGGAUGGAGUGCUUGAUGAUGAAGAUGAAGAUGAAGAUGAUGAUGAUGAGGAAAAUCCCAUGAGAAAAACAGUUCUGAGCAAGUUUUUGGAAAGAUAAUAUGUAAUUUUAUGUAACCCAGACAUGUUAGUAUAAACAUGCAAAAUUAUAGCCAUGUACUUGAUAGUUCAUGCCAUGAUGUAAAUGCAGCAGACGUUGCCCAUAAUUUUAUUUUUUCAUACGUGUAUCAUAAGAAUAAAUUGAUUUAUAUGUGUACGUUACAUACUGAAAAUAAAAAAAUCUCAUGUAAUACCUAUUAAAAUAAACCUGAAUUCAU